rnacentral:tRNA from 2 species
GCGUGCGUAGCUCAAAGGAUAGAGCAGGGGCCUUCUAAGCCUCAGGUGUCGAUUCGAUUUCGGCCGCACGCGCCA